rnacentral:sRNA from 1 species
AGCCUCGUGAGCGAGGGGCGGUCUCGCGC